AGCUGAAUGGCGCAGCGGAAGCGCGGUGAGUUGAAACCGGAUCAUCUAUCGGUCCGAAUAGAUUACUGAUAUUCAUCCAGCCGGGCUCAUAACCCGGAGGACAGUGGAUCGAAACCACUUUCAGCUA